rnacentral:rRNA from 1 species
UGCAAGUCGAGCGGUAACAGAAAGUAGCUUGCUACUUUGCUGACGAGCGGCGGACGGGUGAGUAAUGCUUGGGAACAUGCCUUGAGGUGGGGGACAACAGUUGGAAACGACUGCUAAUACCGCAUAAUGUCUACGGACCAAAGGGGGCUUCGGCUCUCGCCUUUAGAUUGGCCCAAGUGGGAUUAGCUAGUUGGUGAGGUAAUGGCUCACCAAGGCAACGAUCCCUAGCUGGUUUGAGAGGAUGAUCAGCCACACUGGAACUGAGACACGGUCCAGACUCCUACGGGAGGCAGCAGUGGGGAAUAUUGCACAAUGGGCGAAAGCCUGAUGCAGCCAUGCCGCGUGUGUGAAGAAGGCCUUCGGGUUGUAAAGCACUUUCAGUCAGGAGGAAAGGGUGUGAGUUAAUACCUCACAUCUGUGACGUUACUGACAGAAGAAGCACCGGCUAACUCCGUGCCAGCAGCCGCGGUAAUACGGAGGGUGCGAGCGUUAAUCGGAAUUACUGGGCGUAAAGCGUACGCAGGCGGUUUGUUAAGCGAGAUGUGAAAGCCCCGGGCUCAACCUGGGAACUGCAUUUCGAACUGGCAAACUAGAGUGUGAUAGAGGGUGGUAGAAUUUCAGGUGUAGCGGUGAAAUGCGUAGAGAUCUGAAGGAAUACCGAUGGCGAAGGCAGCCACCUGGGUCAACACUGACGCUCAUGUACGAAAGCGUGGGGAGCAAACGGGAUUAGAUACCCCGGUAGUCCACGCCGUAAACGAUGUCUACUAGAAGCUCGGAACCUCGGUUCUGUUUUUCAAAGCUAACGCAUUAAGUAGACCGCCUGGGGGAGUACGGCGCAGGUUAAAACUCAAAUGAAUUGACGGGGGCCCGCACAAGCGGUGGAAGCAUGUGGUUUAAUUCGAUGCAACGCGAAGAAUCUUUACCUACACUUUGACAUACAGAGAAACCUUUCUAGAAGAUAGAUUGGUGCCUUCGGGGAAUUCUGAAACAGGGUGCUGCAUUGCCUGCCGUCAGCUCCUGUUGUGAGAUGGUUGGGUUAAGUCCCGCCACGAGCGGAUACCCCUAUCCUUAGUGGCUAGAAGAAAUGCUUAAAAACCUAAAGGAAACUGCCCGUGAUAAACCGAAGAAGGUGGGAAACAACUUCAGUCUCACUGACCUC